CCUACGGGAGGCAGCAGUGGGGAAUUUUGGACAAUGGGCGCAAGCCUGAUCCAGCCAUGCCGCGUGAGUGAAGAAGGCCUUCGGGUUGUAAAGCUCUUUCGGCAGGAACGAAAUGGUUCGUGUUAAUACCACGGACUGAUGACGGUACCUGAAGAAGAAGCACCGGCUAACUACGUGCCAGCAGCCGCGGUAAUACGUAGGGUGCAGGCGUUAAUCGGAAUUACUGGGCGUAAAGCGUGCGCAGGCGGUUUCUUAAGUCAGAUGUGAAAGCCCCGGGCUUAACCUGGGAACUGCGUUUGAAACUGGGAGACUUGAGUGUGGCAGAGGGGGGUGGAAUUCCACGUGUAGCAGUGAAAUGCGUAGAUAUGUGGAGGAACACCGAUGGCGAAGGCAGCCCCCUGGGUUAACACUGACGCUCAUGCACGAAAGCGUGGGGAGCAAACAGGAUUAGAUACCCUGGUAGUCCACGCCCUAAACUAUGUCAACUGGUUGUCGGGGGAUUGAUUCCCUUGGUAACGAAGCUAACGCGUGAAGUUGACCGCCUGGGAAGUACGGCCGCAAGGUUAAAAACUCAAAAGAUAGUACGGACGUGNGAGACGCGACGACGACGACGACGAGGAGGAG
rnacentral:rRNA from 1 species